UACGUAGGGCGCGAGCGUUGUCCGGAAUUACUGGGCGUAAAGAGCUCGUAGGUGGUUUGUCGCGUUGUCCGUGAAAACUCACAGCUCAACUGUGGGCGUGCGGGCGAUACGGGCAUCACUGGAGUUCGGCAGGGGAGACUGGAAUUCCUGGUGUAGCGGUGAAAUGCGCAGAUAUCGGGAGGAACACCAGUGGCGAAGGCGACUACCUGGCCCAUUCUUGACGCUGAGGCGCGAAAGCUAGGGGAGCGAACGGG
rnacentral:rRNA from 1 species